UCUAGCUGUUGUAGCUUUGGUUUUCUUGUGGCAAGGGGGAAUAUGAAAACUUUGAGAUAGUUGUGUAAGUUAUGGGUUCGAAAAACAAAUUUCUGCGAUAUGGACUACCAUUUGUGACGAUGGUUGUGGUUGGAUCAUUUGGUUUAAAAGAAUUUUCCGAGGUACAAAUUCAGGAAGUUCAUGCCCCUAAAACCUGAAGAAGUCGAAAAGGCUAACAUAAAAAUGAAGAAACCUGGCGAAGUGACUUUAGAAAGCGAAUACGAAAAAUUGAAGCAGAUUGACAUUGAUAACUGGCAAAGCAUA